rnacentral:rRNA from 1 species
GGAUGUUCAUAACCCUUUGUUGUCCGACUCUGUUGCCUCCGGGGCGACCCUGCCUUCGGGCGGGGGCUCCGGGUGGACACUUCAAACUCUUGCGUAACUUUGCAGUCUGAGUAAACUUAAUUAAUAAAUUAAAACUUUUAACAACGGAUCUCUUGGUUCUGGCAUCGAUGAAGAACGCAGCGAAAUGCGAUAAGUAAUGUGAAUUGCAGAAUUCAGUGAAUCAUCGAAUCUUUGAACGCACAUUGCGCCCCCUGGUAUUCCGGGGGGCAUGCCUGUUCGAGCGUCAUUUCACCACUCAAGCCUCGCUUGGUAUUGGGCAACGCGGUCCGCCGCGUGCCUCAAAUCGACCGGCUGGGUCUUCUGUCCCCUAAGCGUUGUGGAAACUAUUCGCUAAAGGGUGUUCGGGAGGCUACGCCGUAAAACAACCCCAUUUCUAAGGUUGACCUCGGAUCAGGUAGGGAUACCCGCUGAACUUAAGCAUAUCAAUAAGCGGAGG